rnacentral:rRNA from 1 species
AGGGUAUUAUUGGUUGAACAAACCAUCUUUAUGUGACUUUUGCGCCACAUAGAUUCCCUAAGCCAACAUCGAGGUGCCAACCCCUAUUAUUGAUAAGGACUCUCUAAUAGGAUUAGCCUGUUAUCCCUAAGGUAGCUUGUUUUUGUGAUCUUUGUUAAGGGUCAGUAUUUAGAUUUAUUUAUCUUUUUAUAAGGGAUGAUUAAUUUUUCCCUGGUCGCCCCAACCGAAUUUUUAUUAAAGUUUAAGUCUUUAUUAAAAUGAAGCUCUAUAGGGUCUUCUUGUCCUUCGAUUUAAUCUAACACUCUUCAGUUAGAGAUUAAUUUUUAUGGAGCUUAUAGAGACAGUUUUUAUUUCGUUGGUCCGUUCAUUCUAGCCCACAAUUAAUGGGCAAGUGAUUAUGCUACCUUUGCACGGUUAGGAUACCGCGGCCGUUGAAUAAUAUCACUGGGCAGGAAUUACUUCUUAUUGAUUGCAAGAAGCA